rnacentral:rRNA from 1 species
CGAGUGAACCGGGAAGAGCUCAAAUUUGUAAUCUGGCGUCCUUCGGGCGUCCGAGUUGUAAUCUACAGAGGCGUUUUCCGCGCCGGACCGCGUCCAAGUCCCUUGGAACAGGGUAUCAAAGAGGGUGACAAUCCCGUGCUUGACGCGACGACCGGUGCUAUGUGAUACGUCCUCGACGAGUCGAGUUGUUUGGGAAUGCAGCUCUAAAUGGGUGGUAAAUUCCAUCUAAGGCUAAAUAUUGGCGAGAGACCGAUAGCGAACAAGUACCGUGAGGGAAAGAUGAAAAGCACCCCGGAAGGGGAGUUAAACAGUACGUGAAAUUGUUGAAAGGGAAACGAUUGAAGUCAGUCGUGCGUCCGGCAUUCAGCCGCCUCUGGCGGUGCAUUUGCCGGUUCGCGGGUCAACGUCAGUUCUGACCGACGGAUAAGGGCUGGAGGAAGGUGGCACCCUCGGGUGUGUUAUAGCCUCCUGUCGCAUACGUCGGUCGGGACUGAGGAACGCAGCUCGCCUUUUUGGCCGGGGUUCGCCCACGUACGAGCUUAGG